rnacentral:rRNA from 1 species
UACGUAGGGGGCAAGCGUUGUCCGGAUUUAUUGGGCGUAAAGAGCUCGUAGGCGGUUUGUCGCGUCUGCUGUGAAAACCGGAGGCUCAACCUCCGGCCUGCAGUGGGUACGGGCAGACUAGAGUGCGGUAGGGGAGAUUGGAAUUCCUGGUGUAGCGGUGGAAUGCGCAGAUAUCAGGAGGAACACCGAUGGCGAAGGCAGAUCUCUGGGCCGUAACUGACGCUGAGGAGCGAAAGCAUGGGGAGCGAACAGG